rnacentral:lncRNA from 1 species
UCAGUUGAUUUUUCAGCUAUCUGAACUUCGUAAACAAUACCUCGAAAAGUUAUACUUGUUACGCAAAAAAAAAAAAAGAAGUUCUUUAUCCUGAUAUCUUCUAUAUGAUAUUGUCACAAUGUAAAUCCAACAGGACAAAACUGGACUUAUCAACAAAACAAACCGGGGUUUGUUGUCACCACUUCCGAUUAUAUACUCCUCCACCUUGUAAGUAUCUUCCUUCUCAGCACGCCACAAGUAUAACAAAUCAGUCAGUUGACAAAGUGGAUUUAAUUCUUAUAGGAAACAGAUAAUAAAAAGCAUGCUAAGGAAAACUCCAGAACUCCGACCUACAGUGAGUGCGAGCUACAUAUGUUAAAUGUUAUUCUUUCCAUUUCAAUCUGUUAAGUCUUAUUUUCCUUUUUAGUCCGUUUAAAAGCAAUGUUUGUUUCCUUUUACAACAACUCCUUAAUUCUAACUAUCUACGUGGCAUGUUUAAAGAUCAUAAACUUAAAUUACAUUUUGAUACAUUCUGCAUACCUUUAUUUUAAGACCACAAGAUUCAAGUCUUCUUUUCUUUCUUAAACUUCGCGCCAAAUCAAAACCAGAAAAACAAAAUGAAACGGAGGGAGUAUUAAAUUGAGAUUCAUCUUGAUAUAUUUUUUUACCUCUACUUAUAGGCUGCCGAGCUGUUGAGACAUCAACAUUUGCAACCAUACCUCCUCUUGUGUCCCAACCCUUCAUCUGCGUUUCUUCCUGUGAAGUCCCCGAGCAGAACGAAAGAGAAAACACGACCAUCACCUGGAAAAUCAAUCAGUCCGAGAGGUAGCAGAGACAGACAAUUGAAGCUAAAAGAGAAGAGAACUGUCCUUUACUUUGAUGAAAGUGAUAACAUUCAGCCAAGAAACUUAUCUGACAAUUAUAACACAUUCCGAGCCAAACUUGACACCAAGAGAGUCGAUCCAACAAGCUACU